rnacentral:misc_RNA from 1 species
GGAAGAACGUAGCGAAAUGCGAUACGUAAUGUGAAUUGCAGAAUUCAGUGAAUCAUCGAAUCUUUGAACGCAUAUUGCGCUCUCUGGUAUUCCGGAGAGCAUGCUUGUUUGAGUAUCAGUAAACACCUCAACUCCCUUUUCUUUUUUGAAAUGGGAGCUGGACUUGAGUGAUCCCAACACUUUUCUCACUGGAAAGUGGCGGGUCACUUGAAAUGCAGGUGCAGCUGGACUUUUCUCUGAGCUAUAAGCAUAUCUAUUUAGUCUGCCUAAAAAACAGAUUAUUACCUUUGCUGCAGCUAACAUAAAGGAGAUGAGUUCUUGUGCUGACUGAUGCAGGAUUCACAGAGACAGCUUUGCGGCUGACUUUGUAAACUCGAUCUCAAAUCAAGUAAGACUACCCGCUGAACUUAAGCAUAUCAAUAAGCGGAGGA